GUCCAAGAGAAUCUUUAGCAGAGUUUUGAAUGCAGAGAGGAUAGUAGCAGGAAAGUGAAAUGAAACUGAGUGGUGUGUUUUCUAGAGACAAGGUAGCCUGGUCCACUUGUAGGAUAUGAUCUGAAGCACAUGGAAGCCAAUGGAAGAAUUCCAAUUGACUUCAGUGGGCCUUGGACCAAGCCUUGGAACAGCAAUGCCACGUAAGAGGGAAUCAGUGCUACCGUGGAGAAGAAUGGCAAGCAAUAAGCCCUAUGUGAUGCAGCUUUGUUUUAAUCCAGGUCUCACAGCCCAC